rnacentral:rRNA from 1 species
UCAAAUUUAAAAUCUGGUAGCCUUCGGUUGCCCGAGUUGUAGUCUGGAGAAGCGUUUUCCGCGCUGGACCGUGUACAAGUCUCUUGGAACAGAGCGUCAUAGAGGGUGAGAAUCCCGUCUUUGACACGGACUACCAGUGCUUUGUGAUGCGCUCUCAAAGAGUCGAGUUGUUUGGGAAUGCAGCUCAAAAUGGGUGGUAAAUUCCAUCUAAAGCUAAAUAUUGGCGAGAGACCGAUAGCGAACAAGUACCGUGAGGGAAAGAUGAAAAGCACUUUGGAAAGAGAGUUAAACAGUACGUGAAAUUGCUGAAAGGGAAACGCUUGAAGUCAGUCGCGUCUUCUAGUACUCAGCCUUCCUUUUGGUUGGUGCAUUUACUAGUCGACGGGCCAGCAUCAGUUUUGGCUGCGGGAUAAAGGUCAGAGGAAUGUGGCACCUUCGGGUGUGUUAUAGCCUCUGGUCAUAUACCGUGGCUGGGACUGAGGAUCUCAGCAUGCCUUUAUGGGCGGGGGUUCGCCCACCUUCAUGCUUAGGAUGCUGGCGUAAUGGCUUUAAACGACCCGUC